rnacentral:rRNA from 1 species
GGAUUAGAUACCCUGGUAGUCCACGCCGUAAACGAUGUCUACUAGUUGUUGGGAGACUUGAUCUCUUAGUAACGAAGCUAACGCGAUAAGUAGACCGCCUGGGGAGUACGGCCGCAAGGUUAAAACUCAAAUGAAUUGACGGGGGCCCGCACAAGCGGUGGAGCAUGUGGUUUAAUUCGAAGCAACGCGAAGAACCUUACCUACUCUUGACAUCCAGAGAACUUAGCAGAGAUGCUUUGGUGCCUUCGGGAACUCUGAGACAGGUGCUGCAUGGCUGUCGUCAGCUCGUGUUG